UACGAAGGGAGCAAGCGUUGUUCGGAAUGACUGGGCGUAAAGGGCGCGUAGGCGGUUCUAUAAGUCAGGUGUGAAAGCCCCGAGCUUAACUUGGGAGGUGCAUUGAGACUGUAGGACUAGAGAUUGAGAGAGGAAAAGGAAUUGCGAGUGUAGAGGUGAAAUUCGUAGAUAUUCGCAAGAACACCGGAUGGCUGAAGGCAUUUUCGUGGCUCAACACUGACGCUGAGGUGCGAAAGCGUGGGGAGCAAACAGG
rnacentral:rRNA from 1 species